CAUUAGAAAUGUAGAUAGUCCGGCACUAAAACAUAGUGAGUUGCUUGCAAAUCACUAUGAUGAUCUCAAGUCCGAGGGAUACUUAUGUUCAUAUGCUUCACAAGCUACUCUUGACAGCAGAGUGCUCAGUAGGUGAGUCACUUGUUCAGUGAUGAUGUACUCCUACAUCUCACCUGUAUGCCAUACCAAUAUCUCUAUACUUCUUGG
rnacentral:lncRNA from 1 species